UGGAAGGCCGCGUGCACUGAACAGGAAGUGCACGGCGCGCGCCGCUCGCCCGCUCCCCGUGCCGCCCCCGGGUCGCCUGCCCUGCGGGCGGGGUCUGCCCUCCCCUGCGGCCGCGGCGGCGCGGGACUCGCUGGGAGCCGAUUUCUGAUGCAUCUCGGCCCCCCGCCACUGUCUACGCCCGACCCUCGGAAACGCGCCCCCGCGCCCUGCCCCGCCACCCCCGCUGCGGCGGAAGCCCCGGGUUGCGUGGGGAUGCGCACUGACCCGCACUUGCUUCCGGGGAAACCGCGGUCCCCCGUCCCUCUCCACCCGGCGGGCGGACCCCAAUGCGCCCGGAGCGCGGUCGGUGUUGCCGGGAGUGCGGCUUUUCCCAGCCCACCCUACCCGCCCCCCCCCCCCCCGGCUUAUCUCGGGUUCGCCCAGAGUUGCGCAGUGGGUCGGCGCUAAGUGCGGGCGCGAUAUCCGCAGCCCGGCCCGCGGAAAACGCGGAGUUCCUAGGACUGCGGAAAGCAGUGGGUGCGGAGAGGGCUGGAAACCCCGGGCGAGGCUUCCACGUGCCACCGCGUCGCCACUCUGGGGCGGCCCGUAGUAGCCGAGGGCCGGGGGGCUUGGGUGGUGCGGGCCCCCUUCCGAGCGCCCCGGGAUGGCGCGACCUUGGCUCGCGGCUGGAAAUGGGAUGAAUGCUCGGUCGGGAGACGCCUCCUUCCCCGCUCUAGGUUCUGAGGACGUAGUGACCCCAAAAGUCACUGGAGCGCCCUGAAUGCUGGCGUCAGCUCCGCCUCUCCCCCUCAUCAGAGAAAGAACGUGAGGAGGCGGCCUUAACUCUUGUCCAGUCCAGAAUGAAGCCAGACUGGAAAAUCCUGGAGCGCUCCUUGCUUGACAGAAGAUUGCUCUUCCUCCAUAAUGCCAGUUGACCAUGGGUCGUCCUGCUCGUGCAAUCCAACAAGUACUUUGGAUUAAGAUAAAGUGGUCAUAUAGGACGCCCCACUCCCCACAUGGCCAUAGGAGCGGGCUGGUAGGGGGCUGCCGGUGAAACCGUUGUGAGUGACGCGGCAGUCUGAGAUGCCAGCUCGUGCAGCUUCCUCACGCCCUGUGAUUUUGCUCAGCCUCCAUCCUCUUGCAACGGACUGCUGCUCGUCUGUUCAGCCUUGUGACUCGGUGGGUCCCAUAGGCCCUAGGUCCCCCGGGGGCCCUUCCAGGUGCAUGCACAGUUGGUGUUCCAGGGUCAAGUGUUCCCUCUACCAGGAGCCUAUUUCUCAAAAGGAGCAUGGUUCCCUGCUGUAGCUGGCAUGGCCGUGCUCCAGACCAUUGCUCCUGCAUUGGGAUUCUCCCCUGGCUGGUCAUGACCUCCAUGCUGCAUUUACUCCCGCUGUUGAGACCCCCACCACUGCCGUGGACUCAUCAACCCCCUCCCAGGCCACCAGCCCCACCUGCCCUAGCUCUCCCCCAGCCCCAUUCCCCAGUUCUACCUGGCAGUGUCUCCCCCAGGAGGUGGGCAGGCUGGCCUCUGUGGCCCAUGAGCAUGCUAUGGGGGUUGAAUUGUAUCCCCCAGAGACACAUGUUGAAACCAUAUGCCUGGCACCUGUGAAUGUGACCUUGCCUGGAAAUUGGGUCAUUGCCGAUGUCAUCUGGUUAACUAGGGGGAGGUCAUCAAGGUGGCCCCUAACCUAGAUGACGGGGUCCUUAUGAGAAGAGAGGAGACACAGACACGCAGCGAGGGGAACGCCUUGUGAAGACGCACGCGCACGGAGGCCACACAGAAGCCACGUGAGGGUGGAGACUGGUCGGAGUGAUGCAGCACCAGGAUCUGAGAGCCAGGCACCGAGCACCUCCUCCCUGAGAGCCUCGUGGGCUCUGCUGAUGGCCCGGGUGACCCGUGAUUUCGGACUUCUAGCCUCCAGAACUGCAAGGGACUGAGUUAUGUUAUGAGCCACCCAGGCCGUGACACUUGUGACAGCAGCCGUGGAAACUGAUACACACACCUUUCUCGGCUGCCCCCCUGCACUUUGUCCUGCGUCCUCUCCUGCCUGGAAGCCCCCCUCCCCCUCUCCUCCACGUACCCACCACUCCCUUUGUCCCUGUCGGGGCACCCAAAUUUCCCUUGGAACACUCGGGCUCUCGCUCACCCCCUACCCUGCUGCGUUCUUCCAUCUACGGGCGGCGCUGUACCCCUUAGCACUUAAUUUUAAACUGCCCCCUUGAUUUAUGUGUAUUUCCCACUUGGCUCCGUGAAAGGAUUUUAGGCAGCUGCUGCUUCCCGUUGCUGGCUAAAAGGCUAUUUCUGCUGUAUUUUUCAAGACUGCCCCGAUUGGUUUUGGAACCAAGUAGGGUCUGACCUCAGCCCUCAGGGUAGAGAGCACACGGCACGUCUCCACGUGGGGUUAGGGCCUGCCUGAGAGGGGACCGGAUCACAGGGGUGCAGGCCUCCGAAAAACCCAGCUAUCGGGGGCCCAGCCAUGCCCAGCAUCUGACUCGAUGCUCUGUUAUGGUCAGUCUUCAAGGCUCUGACUCUGUGAUUUAACCAGCCCGAGUGGCACGGGGACCACACCAGAGGCUAUGAGAGACGCAGUCUGUUGGGGAUUUGGGCCGAGCCCCAUAUUUGAACCCACCGAGCCUCUAACUCCGAAGGUCCUUUAAUAGCUCUCAGGAGAAAAAAAAAACAAAACGCAGAUCUUACCAUGUGAAAGUUAAUGCACAGGAAGGGGACAGGAGGACCCAUUCCAAAUGUAAAUCAAGGACAAUUUACAUUUAGCAACAGCCACAUUUAGCACCCAUAGCUUCAAUUUUAAUUAAGGCAGAGUGUCUCAUCUCCAAUCAAGGCCAGAGAAUUAGCACAUUCUCGUGACACAUCAUGUCAUCUGGCAGAGCGGCUUUGCGGGGAGCCCCUGGUGUGACAGCCGGCUGGGGACCAGCUGUGCUCUUGGUGGCGCCCGGUGGCUGUGCCCUGCCUCCCGGAGGACUCCUUCUGACCUGCAGUGUGUGAGCUGAGUGUAGCAACAACCCCAUCACGGGACCCUCCGAGGCCCCCGCUCUGUCUCCCCUUUUGGUGGGGAAAGAUUUGUCACCCGCUCCCACCCCAGCACCGACAGCCGUGCGUGCCUCAGCUUCCUCAUCUGCACAGUGGGCAUCUGCCUCACCUGGCCCUUUGCUCUGAGCCUUGAAGGAGGAGGUGUGUGGGCCAGCAGUUUGCAGGACGUGAAGCCCUCUCUAAAUUGCUCAUCAUCCCCAUAUGUCCCGUGUGUCAGAGAAGCCUGUGAAACUGUCAUCCUUUGCUUUGUCGUGCCUGCUGGGAGGGGCGUUUCAGAGACCCCGGGCAGGAGUGACGUCCAGCUGGAGCAGAGGCAGCUGACCACGUGGGACCAGGACGUGGGCCUCGGCCCUAGGAUGUCUGGGCCCCGCGCGAUCCUUCUGGUUACAGAAUCUGCAGUGACGUCACAGCCCCCAUCGAAUGGUGCCAGGCUGGCCCCUCCCCAUCCGGUGCUGUGGCCUCCUCCCACAGGGACGGGGUCUUCAGGCUCCUCACGAAGGACAGCCCUCCACUUCAGGCAAUCCUGGAGGUUUACAGACAGGACCCCCGAAACCCAGCCUUCCUGCCUUACAGUAUUAGGAUGGCUGGGUGCCUCUUUCCCCUGAGGCUGUUCUUAACUAGCCCAGGGACAGAAACGUCCCACCCUUUUCACCAUCAGUGGGCUUUGGGGGGGGUGUGAAACCAGUGCCCACCUCCCACCCAGCCCAGAGGAAGUUGGGUCAUAAAGAGCAUUUUCCAAAACACGUAGGAAAAAAAUCACAGUUCAUCACAAAUUCACAAAUAUACGCCUGCAAAUUUAGCAGUGCUGUCUUCAGAAAGGCAGGUACCCUUCCUCAACCUCAGGAAGUGCAGAGAUCAGGACGCUCGGCUCUCUGCGGUGCCGGGGUCUCUGGUGCUACCCCCCAGCUUGCUGUCCAGUCCUGUUUCUGAUCCUUGUUUUAGUGGCUCUAUUAUAUUGUGCCUUUUACUGUACAUGAUCUCAGAUGGUUUUCUCCUGAGUAGGAGAGGUACAGAUCACCCAUCUUAUUUAUAACUGCAGCGAAGAUCAGAAUCAGAGUGUAUAAAUUGGGGAGGAAUGUGGAGGAAAAGAUGCUGGGCAAACAGGCUGCUGUUGGCACCUCGUUUUUGCCUUCCCCUUGGUUUCGAUGACCCUGUAGCUUCGGCCAGACAGGCGCUCAGGAAGUAGCUAAUGAUUCGGCCAAAGGCAUUUAUUGACCACGUCAUUUCCACGCGGCCAGCACGGACCGUGCUCCCUGGAGGACAUACAGGAAAAAGUGCAGGCCCCACACCCACCAAGAGGAGAUGAGAGGGGCCCUCGUGGAGGAAUGCAGCCAGUCCCUGACCAGCGGGAAUUGUCACAGGAGCUAACAUUUAUUAUGUGCCUGUGUGGGACAGCUUUGUGCUGGGUGCUCUCGGCCCACCUGUGACCUCUCACACGUCCUUCGGUGGAGGGUCCUGUCACUGUUUCACAGAUGAAGACAUAGAGAUCCGGGACACUAACUGUGGUCAAGAUGGUGCCGGAGCAAGGGCCAGAGAGCUUCAACCAGGACCGGACAGCCUGGAUUUCCAGCAGGUGUGUGGGGCCCUGAGGCAGACACCCAGAGCCACGGAGCAGCAGGGAGGGGGUGGCCGGGCCUUGUGGUCGCACCCUGAGGGACCGGCUACAAGCGACAGGGACCCCUGCACUGCCUGGGACCACAGCGCGCCUCCGAGCCAUUCGCUGGGCAGCCGCAAAGCAGCAACCGUGUGUGAGUGCAUCUGCAUCCACACUGGCCAGGCUGGGGUCCAGAUUGGCAGUGGCUGCUGGGAGCUCUGUUGCCUGGAAUUCAGCCUCUAGCCCAAUGGUCAGACGCCAAGUGACAAGACCACUGGGGGAGGAGAUGACUCCGUCAACACCGUCUUCAGUGAGACCGGGGCUGACGGGCAUGUGUCCGGGGCAGCAUUUGUUACCUCCAACCCACAGUUGUUGAAGUUCACACCGGCCCCCACCACCAGCUCCUCCACCCUGCACAGCUCAUCACAGGCAAGGAAGAUGCUGCCAAUAACUGUGCCCGAGGGCACCACACCAUCGGUAAGGAGAUCAUUGACCUUGUCUUGGAUGGAAUUUAGAAACUGGCUGACAGGUGCACAGGUCUUCAGGGCUUCUUGGUUUUCCUCAGCUUUGGAGGAGGAAUGGGGUCUGGGUUCACCUCCUUGCUGAUGGAACCUCUCUCUGGCCAUUAUGGCAACAAGUCCAAGCUGGAGUUCUCCAUUUACCCUCCACCCAGGUUUCCACAGCUGUAGUUGGGCCCUACAACUCCAUGCUCAUGACCCACACCACCCUAGAGUGCUCUGAUUGUGCCUUCAUGGUAGACAACGAGCCCAUCUAUGACGUGUAGAAACCUCCAUACUGAACGCCCAACCUACACUAGCCUGAACGGGUUGAUAGGUCAAAUUGUGUCCUCCAUCACUGCUUCCCUUAGGGUUGACGGAGCCUGGAAGUCCAGACCAGCCUGGUGCCCUGUCUCCGCAUCCAAUUCCCUCUGGCCCCAUCUGCUGAGAAAGCCUCCCACCAUCAGCCUUCUGUAGCAGAGGUCGCCAACGUGUGCUCUGAGCCAGGGAACCGGAGGGUUAAAGGGCACCCUCGCCACGACAAACACACGGCUGUGCGUCUUUCUGCAGAAAGAGAGGAAUUACUUCAGUUAAAAAUGUCACAAAGCGGGGUGCCUGGGUGGCUCAGUCACUUAAGCGUCUGCCUUCGGCUCAGGUCAUGGUCCCGGGGUCCUGGGGUCGAGCCCCACGUCAGGCUCCCUGCUUAGUGGGAAGCCCAUUUCUCCCUCUCCCUCUGCCCCUCCACCCUGCUUGUGUUCCCUCUCUCGCUGUGUCUCUCUGUCAAAUAAAUAAAAUCUUUAAAAAAAAAAAGUGUCACAAAGCUGCUGCCUUUAUGGGGAAGCUCAUUCUGUUUUAAGUAUUGAAAAGUUGUGCUCUGAUCCGUUCAUUUGUAGGUAGCAGUGUAUACUCUCAUAUGCAAUUACUGACCUAUGCUUUAAAACACGACUCUGUUACAGACCCAAGCUGUCCAUUUCUCUGAUGGGUUUGAGUAAAGUAUUCCCUGUCUUAAAUGGAAAAAAAAAAUCUGCUGAAAGGACCGCUGGGAAGUCAUUAUCGGCUCUUCGUGAACAGCAGACUGCCUCCUCGAAGGGUCCACAUUUUUGCGAGCCUGAACCUGCAAUGUGAAGCAUCUGUAUUCGAGGACCCUGAACUCUUGGCGGGGAGGGUCUCUGCCCCCGCGCGCCCUGCCGCCCUCGAUCCUCGCUGUAGGAUUGCAGAGACCAUGGCACAGGGGCUCUCUCAGGACAAAUACUACCGCAGGUAGCAGGAUGAGUCCUUGCAAAGAGGCAACAUUUUCAGAAAGAACUUAAAAAAAUACAUUUCCUGGAAAUUGCCUCUGACAUUUCAGGUCUGCUCCAGGGAAAACCUCUAUGGAAGCUUUAAGUAAUGAACUGUCAUCAUUUGGAUAAUUGCCUUUCAACCAUCAAUGAUUAUCCCACCUCGCGGACUGAAUCAAUUAUAAAACGUAGGGGCUCUUAACCUUGAAAAGCCCACAGGGAUAUGCGAUACGGAGCCAAAUACCAAACAAGCCACUUUAAAACAACUUUCAGUAGUUGCUCCCUAGAGAAAGUUGGGAGCAGGCAGCUUUGUUGUUUGGUUUGUUUGUUAAAUAAGUCUGUCCAAUUUUUGAGUCUUUAUUUGAGUUUUUAACGGAUUUGACUCUUGCAGCAGUAUUUGUGUACAAUUAUGGUAAAAAUAAAAACGAAAUAGAAGCCCCACAGGUGCCUCAUUUCCCCACUUUGGCCUCCCAUCUCCCAGUAUUUGUUACCACGAGGUCACUGUCCCCAACAGUCAGCAGUCCCUGGCUCUUCCCGCUGCCGCCAGAGUGCCUCCUGACCCCAGCGUCACGGUGACUGGAAGGUGAGGAAGAGACAGAUGGGAGCCUGGCUGCUGGCUGGUCCCCGUUCAGCUGAUGGGCCCCGUGAGGGAACCACGUUUCAUCGUUAAAAUGAUGAGUAACAAUGGGAGCAAGAACCAAACCUUUAAAGAAUUCUAACACGAGUUGGGCCUUAGCCCUGUGGGUGGGUGAGGAUGUUGUGUUGCUGUUUUUCAAAGCUGAGCCUCCUCCAAGUUUGUCAUGCAGGUUCAUCAUGCAGCAGCUACAGCUCCACUUCCCAACGCAGAGACCCUACAAGGACCAGGCUCCUGGCGAUCUCCAUCUGCUGAGUUUCCAUCUCAGAUUCAGCCGGUAAGGGCCACGUGGUCGUGAAGCCUGACAUCAGCAAAUCUGUGUCAAAACCUGAACUCUGAUGCAGAAAAACUCAAGGGCAACCUGUCGGAAUUGGCCAGCUAAUUCCCAGCAAUAUUUAGGAAGUCAUCUAGCACUAGGUGAGGCCCAGGACUGAUCACACAUACCAAUCGCUUUACCCACUCCUCCAGGUUCAUACAGGGUGAACGUAGAUUAAUAAAAAUCAGCACACCUGUAUGGGUCAGGGUUUCCCAGACUGAUAGAUGUAUUUUUUUUAUUUUAAGGAAUUGGCUCAUGUGGUGCUGGGGGCUGGCGAUUCUGAAAUCCAGGCCGGCUGACAGGUGGAACCUCGAGCAGAAGUUGGUGCCAUCCCAGUAUGUGUGUAGGGCCUGAGGAACGGCAGAGAGUGGCAAGAACUGUGUCUAUGGUGUGGGCUCUCAUACAUUCAGAACCUACUUCUGUGCUGUCCUCUGAAGGCGCCUCCAUUCAUCAGACGAUCGUAAGACUUUUUUAAAUCACCUUCCGCCUGCAAAACCUGUGCGGGGACCUGCAGGGAAUCUGAAGAAGCAUCUCUUUCAUCCAACUUAAGACACAGUUGAUUGUGUGGCACACCAUUAUUUUAGCAAAUAUUUACUGAGGAAUGAAUACUCUGUGCUCGGAGCUGACGCUUCGAAGAUGAGACACCCAAGGAGGUCACAGCCUAGGACAGAGGCAGACAGACAGCAAACAGUCACCCACAGAGUGGUGAUGCCAAGCCGCUCCGCAACAGACCCAUAACCAAACCUCUGGGCAUCUGGGUGAAGUGCUGGAAAGAGCCCAAAGGCUAAAUAAGGGCUCAAUGCCAUGGCCAGGAGAAGAAAACCAAUUCAGUUUGUUAAGUUCAAGAUGCCUGACGUCAAGAACAUAGGAAGUUGAAGAGAUGGGCAUGGAAGAGCCCAGUGCUGCGGAAGUCAAAGGAAAAGGAUUUCUAGAAGAUAGGCUGGUCAACAGAGUCAAAUGCUUACUCGGUAAGAUCAAACAGGAUGUAGACCAAAAACGGCUGGGGGGUUGACAUGCAGGAAGGCACUGGAAGUUUCUUACCUCUCUUACAGAAACUGUUUUCUGUUGUUUUAGCUUUAUGUUUAUAUUUUCUUUGAUAAAAGUAAACUUGCAGAAUUUGAAAAUAAUAUUCACCUAUAAUUCCACCAUGAUUGGUAACAUUUGGAUGCAUGUAUUUCCAGUCUUUUUUCCGACAAGUGUACAGCUAAUAUCAUUACAUACGUGCAGUCAUACUGUAGACACAGUUUGUGUCCUGAGUUUUCACUUAAUAUCAUUUCCUAUUAUUUACUUAUCUUCUCUCUUCAUGGUUCUAAAUGUGGGCAUUUUCCAGAUUUAGCCAUUAUAAAUAAUGGCUUUAAUAAACUCUUUUUAACGGGCGCCUGGGUGGCUCAGUUGAUUAAGCAUCUGCCUUUGGCUCAGGUCCUGAUCCCGGGGUCCUGGGAUAGAGCUCCAGGUUGGAUUCCCUGCUCAACGGGGAGUCUGCUUCUCCCUUUCCCUUUACCCCUACACCCCCCACCCCUCAUGCUCUCUCUCUC